rnacentral:rRNA from 1 species
UCCAGCACGUGGUCGGCCAGACACGCUCACAGACACGGAUACUUACUAGCACCCAUUCCAGAAACUAAGCAGGUUUGAGCCUGGCCACUACUUGGAUGGGAGACCACCUAGGAAAGUAGUGUUCCUGCUGGAA